AUGCGGAGGUGCCAGAAGGGAUACACCAAACACGGGGCCUGGGCAUUACCAGCAGUGUGUGCAGUACGGUCAGGCAAUAGGUCACCCAUCCUGCUGUCUUGGCAGAGAGGUUUGGCAGCCUGCCCUGCAGCCCUUGCGAAGAGGAUGGCGAGCCACAGGCCGGAUCUCUCCUGCUGCAAUAUAAGCAUCAACAUGACUGGUGGCUGUCAGCCUUCAUCAUUGAUCCUAUUCACUCUGUUCCCAGUGCUGAAAUCUAAGUCCCAAAUGCAAGCAGAAAAUACUCAGCCAUUCAUGACAAAUUGA
rnacentral:lncRNA from 1 species